AAACUCUCAAAACAUCCUCCAAACCGUAGCUGAAAGCAAAGAGAAACAAGGUGCUCCAACUAGCUAAUUCAACCACCAACUUGCUCUCGGAUUCUCAAGUCACAACUUGUAAACCGUUGAUGAGGAAGAUGCUAAGAAAAGAAGUAGCGUUGAUG